rnacentral:rRNA from 1 species
AGAGUUUGAUCAUGGCUCAAGAACGAACGCUGGCGGCAUGCCUAACACAUGCAAGUCGAACGAGACCUUCGGGUCUAGUGGCGCACGGGUGCGUAACGCGUGGGAAUCUGCCUUGGGUUCGGAAUAACAGUUAGAAAUGACUGCUAAUACCGGAUAAUGUCUUCGGACCAAAGAUUUAUCGCCCAGGGAUGAGCCCGCGUAGGAUUAGCUAGUUGGUGAGGUAAAGGCUCACCAAGGCGACGAUCCUUAGCUGGUCUGAGAGGAUGAUCAGCCACACUGGGACUGAGACACGGCCCAGACUCCUACGGGAGGCAGCAGUGGGGAAUAUUGGACAAUGGGCGAAAGCCUGAUCCAGCAAUGCCGCGUGAGUGAUGAAGGCCUUAGGGUUGUAAAGCUCUUUUACCCGGGAUGAUAAUGACAGUACCGGGAGAAUAAGCUCCGGCUAACUCCGUG